rnacentral:misc_RNA from 1 species
AACACUGAACAUACAUCAUG